CCUUGACAUACUAAGAACUUUCCAGAGAUGGAUUGGUGCCUUCGGGAACUUAGAUACAGGUGCUGCAUGGCUGUCGUCAGCUCGUGUCGUGAGAUGUUGGGUUAAGUCCCGCAACGAGCGCAACCUUUUCCUUAUUUGCCAGCGGGUCAUGCCGGGAACUUUUAAGGAUACUGCCAGUGACAAACUGGAGGAAGGCGGGGACGACGUCAAGUCAUCAUGGCCCUUACGGCCAGGGCUACACACGUGCUACAAUGGUCGGUACAAAGGGUUGCUACCUCGCGAGAGGAUGCUAAUCUCAAAAAGCCGAUCGUAGUCCGGAUCGCAGUCUGCAACUCGACUGCGUGAAGUCGGAAUCGCUAGUAAUCGCGGAUCAGAAUGCCGCGGUGAAUACGUUCCCGGGCCUUGUACACACCGCCCGUCACACCAUGGGAGUUUGUUGCACCAGAAGUAGGUAGUCUAACCGCAAGGAGGACGCUUACCACGGUGUGGCCGAUGACUGGGGUGAAGUCGUAACAAGGUAGGCGUAGAUGA
rnacentral:rRNA from 1 species